GAUGAACGCUGGCGGCGUGCCUAACACAUGCAAGUCGAACGAAGCUUGACGGAUGAUUUCUUCGGAAUGAAACCAGAUAUGACUUAGUGGCGGACGGGUGAGUAACACGUGAGCAACCUGCCUGUCAGAGGGGGAUAACGGCUGGAAACGGUCGCUGAUACCGCAUGAUGUGUUCGGAUGGCAUCAUCUGAACAUCAAAGAUUUAUCGCUGAAAGAUGGGCUCGCGUCUGAUUUGAUAGUUGGUGGGGUAACGGCCUACCAAGUCUACGAUCAGUAGCCGGAGUGAGAGGUUGAACGGCCACAUUGGGAAUGAGAUACGGCCCAGACUCCUACGGGAGGCAGCAGUGGGGAAUAUUGCACAAUGGGGGAAACCCUGAUGCAGCAACGCCGCGUGAAGGAUGACGGUUUUCGGAUUGUAAACUUCUUUUCUUAGUGACGAAGACAGUGACGGUAGCUAAGGAAUAAGCAUCGGCUAACUACGUG
rnacentral:rRNA from 1 species